CUUACUCUUUGUAUGGUUAUCCGUGGAGUCGAUUUCAAGAAUCGAUUCGGGAGAAGAUUGACUUUGCACGGGAGUGGAAGGAGGACGUUUUGCGACGGAAGGUUUGAAUUAAACUAAUACAACUGUACAGUGAAUGUAAAGUGGACAAUGGCAGAGGAAUCAGAUGGUUAUAUACGGGAUCAUGAGAAUUUGGAUGAAAAUGACGAAAUGUUCUGGGAGGAAAUUAGGAAAAAACAAAGCAAACUUCUAGGACACCAACAAGUAAUACCUACAGUUCAAACACAGUGAGACAGAAUAAUGAGAACCAUAUGAGAGAGAUAACACAACAGACAAAGUAGGUGGCGGUAUGCACCAAAGAGAUGUCACCCGCCAAUAAACCAACAAGAAGAAGAAGAAGAAGAAGAAGAAUCGAUUCUGCAAAAUGGUGUUGUUGACACAGGACUGGAUAUUACACAGCAGUGGUUUGCAAAAUGUGGUACGACCAGCACUGCUAGCACUUAAAGCUUCCCAGGUGGUCAACAGGAUAAACACCAGACGAAAAUGAGCUGCAUACAUAUAAUUAAAAAGGAAUGAUUUUAAAUCGUG